UAUGAUUCACAAAGUACAAAUUCAUACGAAUUUGCUGCCUUGUAAAAUAGUUACGAAUUCCCAUGAGAUCAGGUUGUCAAGUUAGUUGUAUUUUGUCUGAUUGAUAUAACUUGGAAUGCAGUAGGGCUGUGCAAUGUAUAGAAAUAUUGAAAAUAUCGCAAAUAUCGCAUAUGUGCAUAUCGCAAUUUGCAUAUCGCAAUGGUUUGCAAUAAAUUAGCUAUUUAAUUAUUUGAAAAGUUAUGUGUGGUCAAAAUUUUAGGUGUACAGGGAUAGUAGUAUAUAUGUGGUAAACGGAUGUUAGUUGGAAUAUACGUGCGUGCAAGUACUCUGACGCAAAUCAAUCAACAAUCCGCAUCGCAAAGCUUUCAUAGCGAGCGAAGUUGAGCCAUCCCGAGACAUCCGCAGCUGCUGCUGACGAUUUAGUGCCAAAACGAAGAAGCACCACAAAGAUAUGGCAGUAUUUUUCAGCAAUCUUUCAGAAGUUGUAGUGAUGCUUACUUUAUCCUAAAAUAAUGUGAAACAUAUGUGGGUUAUAUAAUUUUGUAAUAUGUUUUAAUACAAUUUAAACUGAUAUCAAAAAUACUGUAUCGAAUAUUGCAUUAUUUAGCAUGCUAUCGCAUUUUUCCUCAAUAUUGCACAGCCCUAGAAUGCAGAGUUUUUUUUGCAAAUCAAACCUGUGCAUGCAUGGUCCAGCAUACAUAAUAUGUUUUCUCCUGUAUUAUGUGGAAAUUUGUGGUGCUGCAGAUUCUGCCUGGACAUGCUCAAGCGCAGUUUUAUUCACAUUCAUGUAUGUUGAUAUUAUCAUUAUCGGGGUCCAUCUGAUGCUCCCGGACGGAGUCAUGUGGUGUGAACUUGUACGACAUCACAUUGUGUCUCUCGUAUCACAAGUCAAUCUAGUCGAACAUAUACACGUUGCUCCCACACUAGCAUGCUAACACUUACAGGCUGUUAUUGAGUUCCUCCGUGGGCCUGCGGUGCACGAAUAAACAGCACACCAGACUGAGGGAAGGACUCCAACACCGUUGCGAACAACAUGUCCAAACAGAGAAACAGGGAGCGCAAUGCUAAUUCUUUUGAGAAACCAUAGGUUGAGAUGCGCAUGAAAGUGAUCGCCGUGUUUGACACAUUCCUCUCGCACUUCUCAGUGUGCCAGCCAGAGAAGUUUUGCAGUACUUCAUGUUAACUCCAUCUUGGAUACUUACCAAACCAGGCAGGCAAGAUGGAGAGAUAAACAGUAUUACUGUAAUUCCAGUGCUCUGGAAACUGUACGUGAAAACAUAAACAUCUCACUGUUUGUUGUUUAUGUCUCGAUCUGCCCGAAGGUGGUCGGCAAUCAGACUGAACUCGAAAGCACUCCCUUCUGCUUGAUCUCAGUACACUAAGAUCAGCAUUACUGAAGCAGAAUGAACGGUGCUGCAGGGGAAAUCUGCCGAGCUCCCUGCUUUCUAUCAACAGGGCGAAGGAUAACACUCACAAAAGUGUUUUUGCACUCUGCCGACUCAAGUUUUGCUUGCACAAGCAAGGCACAAGUCACCCGUAAUGACUCUACAUAAACACAUACCGACUCCCACAGAAAUAAAGCCCAUGUUGUAUAACAGUAUAUACUGUAUCAGGUCCAAUCGGUGAGUGAUGUAUUGCGGUGGACUUUAUUUAUGGUGUUUGUGUAUUGUACUGAGACAGUUGUUUGAGAAUUGUACUAGACCCUGAAGCAUAGAUUUUUUCUUCUUUGCUUCAGCAAAUUCUGCUCCAGCCUGACACAGUUCAUGGGGGAAGACCUUGGCCCUUCAUCUGACCACGGAGAAAUUGGCGCGUGUAUGAAAUAAAGAGGCCUUAAUGAAAAGCACGCCCUUGAUUCCACGAGCCGGCAAGGUGCGUUUUCUCUCUACCAUUUCCAUGGAGAGAAGCAUCUCUCUCUCAGCCUUUCUUUCCUUUCCUUCACGCACACAACCUCACUAAACAAAUAACCUCUUCUGUGUAUCAAAAUGAAAUAAAAAGUCAUCGCUGCUUUCAUUUUCCCUUGUGUAUUUUCUUGUGUAAGCUACAGGUAUUAACCGAGUGAAGAUAUUUCACGAUAUUAAAAUGGCAGCCGAAAAACAA